AAAGGUAGUGUCUACAGAUACGGACCCGUACCCGUAGCCUGUGGCCUACGGAUACGGCACUUUCCCUUAUCAUAAAUAUUAAUGAGACGUACAUGAAUAUUAAUGAGCCGGCUGAUGAACGCGCUUUGUGAUUGGCUGGUAAUCCGACUGAUGAAGGCGCUUCCGUGAUUCGAGGUGAAUCUGCGUGCCGAGCCUGUCAUGUCAGUCAUCUGCUGUUCUCUUUUCUAUCAUGCAUAAUGUCUUAUAAAUAUCAUUAUCUGACUUUUUCACGGACAGCGAUUUGGGGGUUGAAAUCAGCACUACUAUUAAAUAUAGCAAAACUUUUUAUUCACGUGACCCUGUUCUAAUAAAGCACAAACAGCAAACAAAACAAAUGGCGGAACUAACAGCCAGCAAACUACAAGUAUUUUUUUACCUUCAAAAGUAGCGACAGACUAUUACAUAAUAACAACCUAAACAAAACCCUGACGUAUUUUCUGCGUCUGGCAACACAGACACUGCACGUCAGUCACUUUAAUGUUAGCGGACUCUGUUGAAUGGCUAAGUUACAUCACCACAAACAAAUCUCACAAUAUCACAGUAAAUCGAGUUUGUGGGUUUUUUUUAAUUCAUGCCGAAUUAAAGAGCUGCUCCUCACCA